CAUGCCGCGUGUCUGAAGAAGGCCUUCGGUUGUAAGACUUUGUCAGGGAGCAAAACUUACUGGUUAAUACCUGGUGAGGUUGAGAGUACCUGAAGAAUAAGCACCGGCUAACUACGUGCCAGCAGCCGCGGUAAUACGUAGGGUGCAAGCGUUAAUCGGAAUUACUGGGCGUAAAGCGUGCGCAGGCGGACUUUUAAGCCAGAUGUGAAAGCCCCGAGCUUAACUUGGGAAUUGCGUUUGGAACUGGGAGUCUAGAGUCUGUCAGAGGGGGAUGGAAUUCCACGUGUAGCAGUGAAAUGCGUAGAGAUGUGGAGGAACACCGAUGGCGAAGGCAGUCCCCUGGGAUAAGACUGACGCUCAUGCACGAAAGCGUGGGGAGCAAAACAGGAUUAGAUACCCUGGUAGUCCACGCCCUAAACGAUGUCUACUAGUUGUUGGGGUAGCAAUACCUCAGUGACGCAGCUAACGCGUGAAGUAGACCGCCUGGGGAGUACGGUCGCAAGAUUAAAACUCAAAGGAAUUGACGGGGG
rnacentral:rRNA from 1 species